GACAAAUCAAAGCAGCUGGCCUCUUCCAAAAUCUGUUAUGUUGCUACAUUAGAAAGCACACUACUCCUUCAUUAACACAGUUAUUGCAACUAUAAAUAUUUUGCAUAUAGGAACAGAAAUGAAGAGUGCAGCAGCAUGGAUACAUAGGCUUUGCUCCAAACAGCAGGUGCUACUUUGAAGAAUUUUGCUCUUCGCCCCUCUCCUGGUGCAGUGGAAUGCCUCUCACCACGAGCAGCAGAGCCCCUGCCUCUCUCCAGGACGAAGCCCUGUGCUCCUCAGUGCAGCUGUAGAAAUGGAUGAGGCCUUUGUCAUCUUAAACACAUUUCGAGGACUUUCACAGAUUUUCAAGGAAACAAAAUUCUAGUUAGACUAAUAGCUAUCCUGUUGGACUGCUGUAAUCUGAUCUACUACUACUGAAUUAACUUCCUAACCUCUGUUCUGCAGCCUACUUACCAUAAUACAGUGAAGUUUUAAUACCUUCGUCACAUUGCUGAAGACAGCGUUAUUGUUUUACAGCUAUGCAAGAAAAAAAAAAAAAAGCAAAAAAAAACCUCAGCAGAAUAAUUAAAUAGUAAUAAUAUUUUAAAAAUGUCAUGCAGUAAUUUAGAAAACAAAACCCAGUAACCUCUAACAGUGUAAACCAACCUUCAGUGUACUCAUAUCAGUGUUUAUUUUUCUUUCAAUCACUGCACAAAGCUUUGGUUAGGCAAGAGGGUGUAAUUCAUUACUGCUGAUUUUCAACAGCUUGUCCAUGGCAUAAUUUUUUCAGUGAAAUGGUCACUUUUUUAGGGUUUGUAAUAGGCAUAAGUGGGAAGCGGAUUAUACAGUUUGGCUAGACCUACAGAUCUGUGGAGCCAAAAUAAAGCUUGUAGAAAAGCUUUCUGCUUACAAGCAGAUAAUUUAUAGUUAAGAAAAUUCUGCAAAGCGGUUUUGUUGAGCUGAAGGAGGUAAGCUACAGUGAUCAUGGUUUUAAUUUGGUUUCAUUAUCUGUUGAGAUUUCUGGUGUAAAAUGGGAAAAUGGAUUUAGUUUCUCUGCAUUCACAUUUUCUAUUACGGGUAGUACUUCAAGUCUUGUAAUAUGUAAAGAGCUUACGUUUGUUCAGCAGGAUGAUUCAGAGCACUUUUCUUCAACUGGAGAUACAGAUCCACAACCUCCACAGUGUCUGAGAGGGCUUUAAUAAGAUGUUUGUCUCUAUCCGUUGUCUUUAUAAGGCUCCUACAUAGUGGAGAGAGCAAGUGAAAAAUCGAUAGGAAAUAAGAGAAAAGCAGGAAAAAAGGAGAGCCUUCUCUAAGCAGACAGGACCUGGAUUUUUGACUGUGUUCGAAUUGUUUUCCAGAAGUUCACCAGUGCUUCCGCUGUGGCUUGGCCACUCCACAAACAACUGAUGUUGACAGAUGUACUUUGGGUGUUCAAAAAUUGGGCUUCAUUUGAAAUAGCUGGAUCCAGAUGGAUUUGGGGCAUAUUGUUACUUUUCUUUGAUGAGUCUUUUAGCUUAGAAACUAUUUCCUGCUUGCACAUGAUCUAUAUUUUCUUGCAAUCCCCUAUAAAGCUGUCAAUUAAAUGUAGAGUCUUGCAAGCUCUGUUUUCUGAGGAUAGUUAGCUACCUGAGCUGCUACCUGAGCUCAGGACUUUGAACUUACUUCUGGUUACCACACUGCUUCCUGGUUUUCCUCCUAAACUCUGCACAACUUGGUACAAAAAUUCCUCUGUGUCUCAGCUGCAAGGCAGAUAUAAUAGUGUUAUGACAUUAAGCUGCUUUGAGGAUUAAUAUAUAAACUGUUAGCACAGCAAGUCUGAUUGUAAGGUGAAAACUUGAAUUCUGACAUUAAAAAAAAGAAGUGAAAUUCAUUUUUUUCCUGCAUGUUUGUAGAUCAGGGUGUUCAAUUUUAUUUAAUAACAAAAAAGAAGGAAUAAAAUAUUUACUUUUGUCAAAGUGAGCAUCAUGUCUUCAUUUGCAUUGCAAUUCUGACAAUUUUUUAGAAGUGAAUUGUCAAGUCCAGCCAGAAUUGAUUUUGCAGAUUUUUACCCAUUCCAAAUCUCUCUUACAUGAGAAAUUAAUUUAAACUCGAUGCUGAUAUAAGUGCUGCUAAUCAGAAUUAAUAAAAUGAGCUAACAUGCUACUUCUGUUAAAAAAAAGAG
ensembl:lncRNA